AGAGUUUGAUCCUGGCUCAAGAUGAACGCUGGCGGCGUGCUUAACACAUGCAAGUCGAACGAAGCACCUUGAUUUGAUUCUUCGGAUGAAGAUCUUGGUGACUGAGUGGCGGACGGGUGAGUAACGCGUGGGUAACCUGCCUCAUACAGGGGGAUAACAGUUAGAAAUGACUGCUAAUACCGCAUAAGACCACAGCACCGCAUGGUGCAGGGGUAAAAACUCCGGUGGUAUGAGAUGGACCCGCGUCUGAUUAGGUAGUUGGUGGGGUAACGGCCUACCAAGCCGACGAUCAGUAGCCGACCUGAGAGGGUGACCGGCCACAUUGGGACUGAGACACGGCCCAAACUCCUACGGGAGGCAGCAGUGGGGAAUAUUGCACAAUGGGGGAAACCCUGAUGCAGCGACGCCGCGUGAGCGAUGAAGUAUUUCGGUAUGUAAAGCUCUAUCAGCAGGGAAGAAAAUGACGGUACCUGACUAAGAAGCACCGGCUAAAUACGUGCCAGCAGCCGCGGUAAUACGUAUGGUGCAAGCGUUAUCCGGAUUUACUGGGUGUAAAGGGAGCGUAGACGGAGUGGCAAGUCUGAUGUGAAAACCCGGGGCUCAACCCCGGGACUGCAUUGGAAACUGUCAAUCUAGAGUACCGGAGAGGUAAGCGGAAUUCCUAGUGUAGCGGUGAAAUGCGUAGAUAUUAGGAGGAACACCAGUGGCGAAGGCGGCUUACUGGACGGUAACUGACGUUGAGGCUCGAAAGCGUGGGGAGCAAACAGGAUUAGAUACCCUGGUAGUCCACGCCGUAAACGAAGAUUAAUGGGUGUCGGGGGGGAAAAGCUGUUUGGUGCCGCAGCCAACGCAAUAAGUAGUCCACCCGGGGAGUACGUUCGCAAGAAAGAAAAUCAAAGGAAAUGACGGGGACCCGCACAAGCGGUGGAGCAUGUGGUUUAAUUUGAAGCAACGCGAAGAACCUUACCUGCUCUUGACAUCUCCCUGACCGGCAAGUAAUGUUGCCUUUCCUUCGGGACAGGGAUGACAGGUGGUGCAUGGUUGUCGUCAGCUCGUGUCGUGAGAUGUUGGGUUAAGUCCCGCAACGAGCGCAACCCCUAUCUUUAGUAGCCAGCGGUUUGGCCGGGCACUCUAGAGAGACUGCCAGGGAUAACCUGGAGGAAGGUGGGGAUGACGUCAAAUCAUCAUGCCCCUUAUGAGCAGGGCUACACACGUGCUACAAUGGCGUAAACAAAGGGAGGCAGAACCGCGAGGUCGAGCAAAUCCCAAAAAUAACGUCUCAGUUCGGAUUGUAGUCUGCAACUCGACUACAUGAAGCUGGAAUCGCUAGUAAUCGCGAAUCAGAAUGUCGCGGUGAAUAAAAUCCCGGGUCUUGCACA
rnacentral:rRNA from 1 species